GGGGGUAUAGCUCAGUUGGUAGAGCGUCAGCUUUGCAAGCUGAAUGUCUGGGGUUCGAAUCCCCAUGCCUCCA
rnacentral:tRNA from 2 species